rnacentral:rRNA from 1 species
AUUGAACGCUGGCGGCAGGCCUAACACAUGCAAGUCGAACGGUAACAGGAAACAGCUUGCUGUUUCGCUGACGAGUGGCGGACAGGUGAGUAAUGUCUGGGAAACUGCCUGAUGGAGGGGGAUAACUACUGGAAACGGUAGCUAAUACCGCAUAACGUCGCAAGACCAAAGAGGGGGACCUUCGGGCCUCUUGCCAUCGGAUGUGCCCAGAUGGGAUUAGCUAGUAGGUGGGGUAACGGCUCACCUAGGCGACGAUCCCUAGCUGGUCUGAGAGGAUGACCAGCCACACUGGAUCUGAGACACGGUCCAGACUCCUACGGGAGGCAGCAGUGGGGAAUAUUGCACAAUGGGCGCAAGCCUGAUGCAGCCAUGCCGCGUGUAUGAAGAAGGCCUUCGGGUUGUAAAGUACUUUCAGCGGGGAGGAAGGGAGUAAAGUUAAUACCUUUGCUCAUUGACGUUACCCGCAGAAGAAGCACCGGCUAACUCCGUGCCAGCCGCCGCCGUAA